AACGAACGCUGGCGGCAUGCCUAACACAUGCAAGUCGAACGAGACCUUCGGGUCUAGUGGCGCACGGGUGCGUAACGCGUGGGAACCUGCCCUUAAGUUCGGAAUAACUCCCCGAAAGGGGUGCUAAUACCGGAUAAUGUCUUCGGACCAAAGAUUUAUCGCCUUUGGAUGGGGCCGCGUUGGAUUAGCUAGGUGGUAGGGUAAAAGCCUACCAAGGCGACGAUCCAUAGCUGGUCGGAGAGGAUGAUCAGCCACACUGGGACUGAGACACGGACAAGACUCCCCCGGGAGGCAGUAGUGGGGAAUAUUGGACAACGGGGGAGAGACUGAUCCAGCAAUGCCGCGGGAGUGAGGAAGGCCUUAGGGUUGUAAAGCCCUUUUACCCGGGAUGAUAAUGACAGGACCGGGAGAAUAAGCGACGGCUAACCCCGUG
rnacentral:rRNA from 1 species